GACGAACGCUGGCGGCGUGCUUAACACAUGCAAGUCGAACGGAAAGGCCCCUUUGGGGGUACUCGAGUGGCGAACGGGUGAGUAACACGUGAGUAACCAGCCCUUGACUUCGGGAUAACUUCAGGAAACUGGGGCUAAUACCGGAUAGGAAUCCUUGCUGCAUGGUGGGGGUUGGAAAGCUUCGGCGGUUUUGGAUGGACUCGCGGCUUAUCAGCUUGUUGGUGGGGUAGUGGCUUACCAAGGCUUUGACGGGUAGCCGGCCUGAGAGGGCGACCGGCCACAUUGGGACUGAGAUACGGCCCAGACUCCUACGGGAGGCAGCAGUGGGGAAUAUUGCACAAUGGGCGGAAGCCUGAUGCAGCAACGCCGCGUGCGGGAUGACGGCCUUCGGGUUGUAAACCGCUUUCAGCAGGGGCGAAGCUUGUGGUGACGGUACCUGCAGAAGAAGCACCGGCUAACUACGUG
rnacentral:rRNA from 1 species